AUAAAAGGAGGCAGAGAGGCUGACUUUCCAUUCAUCCUCCUGACUGAGAGAGAGACGGCAGGAUGCUCAACUCCUCACCUCACUUCCUCCACUCGGCAACUUUUCCUCUCUGAGCAUUUUGGUUCUUUUAUUCCUGCAGGUGAAAAUGGAUCAUUUUUGCCGGGCUGUUUGUUUUUUCUGAGUGCUUGGCGAGUCCUGAGGGUAGAAGUAAGGACGUGAGGCUGUUGAUGGAUCAUUUUUUUAAAGGAUGCAGCAUCUGAUUCUUUGGGAAGCAAAAUAUCAACGUGAUUGAAGCAAGAACUGCAAAGGAAACAGAAGAGAGAGAACUGCACUUUACACCUUCAAGCGGUGAUUUUUCAACAUAUUUACACCAUACCAGCGAAAUAUCACCACUGAGUGAGGAGCGUGCAUUAAGUGAGAUUUCAAACCUUCUUGCCUCCUGUGACUGGAAAGUGCCGGAAAAACUUUCUUGAGUUGGAAAAUGCUGAAGAAAGAAGAGAAAACAUCAGAUGAUGUCAUAUGAAUUUUCCGAAAAGAUUUGUGCUUUUUGCUCUAAUUACACCAAGGCAUCCUGAAGCUGAUAAUCUCACCACUACCACCAUGUUUGACGACCGACAGGUUGGACUGAUACAGAUCGCUUUGAUGUGUUCAUGGUGUGUUUGCGCUGGCCUGGACCGACCGCUCUCUGAGGGACUAUCAUUGCUGAUUUUAACUCUUACUGACUGAAGGAGGAUAUGGAUUCUUCAAGAGAAAACUAAUGUGAUCCCCCGUAGUCGGGAUCCCAGGAGAAAACAGGAACACACAGAAUGAAUCAACUCAAGAUUAACAUGGACUGAUCUUCGAACUUUUACCAACCAAAUACAUGUUUGUGGAAAAAAAGAAAGCAUGUUCUUCAAUAAUGGACUAAGAACCUUCUGUCUUUUAAUAACUUAAAAUUUAGUAAGCUUAAAUGUACAUUUGUUGAAAGAAUUAAAAAAACAUUGUUUAACCUGCUUAUUAUUAUCAGGACAGGUAAGUUAAUACAUUACUAUCAAUGCUCCUUUUUACCCAACAGACUCCAAAAUAUGUUAAAAAAUUAAUUUAAUAUCUUAUUUAUUUUUGUUAAAACUAGGUCUGUGAUUCCUACAUCAGAAAAGCUUUAUUUCUGCUGCCACUUAUAUUUACCAUAAAGCCAUCUAAACUAUUAUAUGUGUUUGCUGUUUUCACUUUAAUGGAAUUCGACAAACAUCGAGAGUAGAGAGCUGAUAAAUUAUUAAUUUAUAUUCAAUACAAUAAGUAGAGAACCAUUUCAAAGAGUAACAGGAGUUUAACAAGGUGAUAUUAGAUGGUUAAAUUGUCUGGAUAUUUGUUCUGGUUACUAGCUUGCAGUCCGCUGCUUCACAGUUCUGAUGCUGGGAGUUUGGUAACUCUGGUUUUGAAAUAUUGUGAUCAGAAACAUCACAAAAGAGUCAAAUUACUCUGUUUUUAAAUUGAGUUGAAAGUGUAUUUGAAUUUUCUGCUAGUUAACUGAAUCAAUCUGCUACGUGCCUCUGGCAUUUAAAAGUGACUUGGGAAAAUAUUUUAGAGGGCUUAAACUCAAAACCUUUUCAAAUCUUGAUGCUGAGAACUAGUUAAUUUGAAAUCAUCGUCACCAAACCAGAUUCAUUUUCUAGAUCAAAGAUAGAAAAGUGUUCAGGAGCAGGAUACUUUACUGAGAUAAACUCACUUCAAACUAUUCACUUGGACUAAUUCCUCUGUGUGUGUUUUGCAAACAACUGUUGUUUAUCUCCAUUUAUAUGUUUAACUUUCAACUAAAUAAGCUUUUAUUAACACAGUCCUCUAAUGUUUAGUGGGAAAGUGUUGCUGCUGGCUUUCAUAAUCACUUUCAGUCAUAAUCCGCCAGCAGCCAGAAAUGAUGGCAGAAAGUGAUAGACAGGAGCUAAAACAGGACUAUAACAGAGCUAGAGCCUGUCACAGUGGUGUCCCUUUUUCUGUUCAGGAGUUGCACAAAGCCGUCAGCUCUGAAAGGUCAACCUGCUCUAGACCGCACUGUAAAUGAAGCAACCAAAGUGGCCCUGGAAUCCCAGAUGAAGUUGAUUCUCUUCAUCAGCUGUCAAUUGAUUCUCCUACUAAAUACUCAACACUGAACACCAGAGACACGUGUGGUAUCCGACUCUUUCAGAGCAAUCACACAAUGGAGUCCUCUUAACGAGCAACGCAGCAGCUAAGGAGGAAAGUCCUCGCCAUGCCAACAUGGCUCACCGGCCUGCUGAGAGCCGAGCAGCACCUGACAGAUGCCACUUUGUGGGCAAAAUCCCAGAGGGCUCCAAAGAGCCGGUACAGGACUGAAGCCAAGGGAGCAGGAGACUGGAAUACCAAAACACGUUACAGUCAUAUAUAUAAAUAUGAUUACUGAAAUUCAUUUAACUAUCCACACUUAAAGCUGCAGUAGUAGAGCAAAUGUUUUUUACAUAUUUGUUGUUAAGAGACAGAUAAUCUUUUAAAAGAUCAACUUUGCUUCCAGAGCAAUUAUUGCUGUCUCAAGAAAUGCACCGCUCCUGACCAAAAACACCCAAUCAGAGCCAGGAGGAAGGUCUUAGUGCUGUCAAUCAGUCUUGUGUACUUGCUGCUAAAUGUGCUAAUGGCAGAGAAACAAUUUACCAUUAAAGGGAAAGUUUUUCCAUCACCAUCAGAGGCUAUGCUAACUAGCCUGAGCAUUCACAACAGGAUCUGCUAUCAAAAAGACACUGUAGCAUAGCAUAGAGCAAGAGAGCGACGCUACAUGGAGAGUGACUAACAGCGCUAAGACACUCCCCCUGGCUCUGAUUGGUCAUUUCUAGUUGUAACUGGGAGAAGGCAGAGCAGCUCAAUUUGUUUUACAGAUUAUCAGUCUUAUGCCAUAGUGACAGUUUCAACAAAUAUGUAAAAAAAUAUUGUUUUAUAAAGGUCACACCCUGCAGUUUUAAACCUAUAUAAUUAAGAAAUCACUUAAAUGUCACUUGCCAAACAACAUAAAGUUGGCCAAAAGAUUGCAUGUUAUUCUGCUGUUAUCUUCAACAAAUUCAAGUACAGAUAAGAAACUGAUUAUGGGUUAUAAAUCCAUUUUAAAGGCUCAUCCAAAAAUGGAGAAAAUAUAGAACAAUGACAACCCAGAGCUGAUUUGUGGCUUCAAGACCUGGGAAGCUCAUUAUAAACGAUGGAAUCAUUUAUUCUGCUCUCUACAAGAAACCCAAGAAGCAGAAUGUCUGGCAUUCAGUUUGUGACCGUAAUCUCAAAUGUUAUGCAACAGUACAAUGAUCUAAAACACGGUGCUAAGUCCACCUCUCACUGGAUGACAAAAAAUGUUUUGGAGAGGCCUAGUCAAAGGCUGGAACUUAAAUCUGACCUUUAAUUAGCUAUUGAUGCUCAAAAUCACAAUGUGGUUGAAUUAAAAUAAUUCUGCAAGAAAAACAGAUCAAAAAUAUUUAUACAAGGACGUUAAAAACUCAUUGGCAGUUUUUACAUCCAAGGUUUAGAGUGCAAUCACUUUUCAUCAGAGAGAAAAUUAUCAUUUGAAAUUUGCUUUUUAAAUUUAACCAGGUUAUCUUUGUCUGGUAAGAACAUUUUUCACCUAAA